AGAAAUUUUAAUAACGAAUUAGUAACAGUUCAGUAAUAUUCCGAAUUAAAAAGCAGUGAAAAAGAUUUACAAAAUAAUGCCUUGCAAAAAUUGUAGUAAACGUUGCAAAUGUACCCAAGUAUGUGGAGACAGAUGUGACUGCAGUGAAAAUUGCAAGUGUCACUUUAAAACAUCUGACAGCAUUGAUGAUGGAGGCAACGAAGGAUUCUUUUUUGAGGAAGAGGAACCACCUAAGGUUACUCCUGUCACUAAAAAUCCAACGCUUCCCGUACAAGGAAAAUGAGAGGACCCUUAAUAUGAUUUUAAACAAAAGAAAUAUAAAUAUAAACUGUUUUCAACACAUGUAAAAAUACAUUAAAAAUAUAAAUAAAUAAAAUUAUUUCCCGUUAAAUAAAA